rnacentral:rRNA from 1 species
AUUGAACGCUGGCGACAGGCCUAACACAUGCAAGUCGAGCGGAUGACGGGAGCUUGCUCCUUGAUUCAGCGGCGGACGGGUGAGUAAUGCCUAGGAUCUGCCUGGUAGUGGGGGACAACGUUUCGAAAGGAACGCUAAUACCGCUUACGUCCUACGGGAGAAAGCAGGGGACCUUCGGGCCUUGCGCUAUCAGAUGAGCCUAGGUCGGAUUAGCUAGUUGGUGAGGUAAUGGCUCACCAAGGCGACGAUCCGUAACUGGUCUGAGAGGAUGAUCAGUCACACUGGAACUGAGACACGGUCCAGACUCCUACGGGAGGCAGCAGUGGGGAAUAUUGGACAAUGGGCGAAAGCCUGAUCCAGCCAUGCCGCGUGUGUGAAGAAGGUCUUCGGAUUGUAAAGCACUUUAAGUUGGGAGGAAGGGCAGUAAGUUAAUACCUUGCUGUUUUGACGUUACCGACAGAAUAAGCACCGGCUAACUCUGUGCCAGCAGCCGCGGUAAAAC